rnacentral:rRNA from 1 species
UACAGAGGGGGCAAGCGUUGUUCGGAAUUACUGGGCGUAAAGGGCGCGUAGGCGGCCUUCUAAGUCGAACGUGAAAUCCCCGGGCUCAACCCGGGAACUGCGUCCGAUACUGGAAGGCUUGAAUCCGGAGAGGGAUGCGGAAUUCCAGGUGUAGCGGUGAAAUGCGUAGAUAUCAGGAGGAACACCGGUGGCGAAGGCGGGUCUCUGGGCCGACACUGACGCUGAGGAGCGAAAGCGUGGGGAGCGAACAGG